CCGCGGCGGGAAGUUCGAACGGAGGUCUGGGGAAGAGCCGGAGGAGAACAAAAGAAAAGGGUGUAAAUGAACCACCGACUCCGAGCCCGCAGGGCUGCAGUUGUGACGCAUGCACAGCAGCAAGGGCGGCCCGAGGGUCGCUGUCCAAUAAUCGAGAGUAGAGAGUUUUGAGUUUACCGUGCACCCGCGUCAGUAGGCUCGCCUUUCAGUCAAGGAUUUACACAACCUUACAGGAGCCACUUCGGACAAAGUAACAGCUCUCAAUUCAUCAGUUGAGGAUCCAUCUCCUUCCUCCUGACCACCAGCAACGAUCUCACCAAGAGAGCCUGUACUACCAAAGGCCUCUCCCGGGAGGGUCUGCCUUGUUGUCAGAGCCUCUGACGCUGCUAGAGACAGAGGAGCCGCUGCUCGCACUGCCGCCCCGGGAGAGAGCUAAUGCUCCCUUGCUGUCUGCACCUGGAGCUGAUGCUUCCAUUCUCCCUUCCACCCCACCACUUGGUACACCUCUGCUUAUUUAUGAAUUAGAACUUGGGAAAUGGAAAUCAGAGUUACCUUGUGAGACAAGGAAGAAUUCUGAGGGAAGAAAGCCUGGACAUGAAUCUAGGUUCUCUAUUUUACCAAUAAAAUGAUCUUGG